rnacentral:rRNA from 1 species
ACGAACGCUGGCCGCGUGCUUAACACCUGCAAGUCGAACGGAAAGGCCCUGCUUUUGUGGGGUGCUCGAGUGGCGAACGGGGGAGUAACACGUGAGUAACCUGCCCUUGACUUUGGGAUAACUUCAGGAAACUGGGGCUAAUACCGGAUAGGAGCUCCUGCUGCAGGGUGGGGGUUGGGAAGUUUCCGCGGUUGGGGAUGGACUCGCGGCUUAUCAGCUUGUUGGUGGGGUAGGGGCAUACCAGGGCUUUGCCGGGUAGCCGGCCUGAGAGGGUGACCGGCCACAUUGGGACUGAGAUACGGCCCAGACUCCUACGGGAGGCAGCAGUGGGGAAUAUUGCACAAUGGGCGGAAGCCUGAUGCAGCAACGCCGCGUGCGGGAUGACGGCUUUCGGGUUGUAAACCGCUUUCGCCUGUGACGAAGCGUGAGUGACGGUAAUGGGUAAAGAAGCACCGGCUAACUACGUG